UCCCCGGUAGCUCAGUCGGUAGAGCAGCUGGCUGUUAACCAGCGGGUCCGUGGUUCGAGUCCGCGCCGGGGAGCCA
rnacentral:tRNA from 1 species